rnacentral:lncRNA from 12 species
AAUUACUUCCCUGCUGGACUUUUCACACUCCUUGAAGGUGCACCCCAUUUUUCACACUUUUCUCCUAAAACCCUGUCACUCAACGCCUUUCCCAUACUGGUUGCUCCCCCACAGUCUGGAAGCAGGAGCAGCCAAUGUGCCAAGCCAGGAAGCAUUGGACUUUAAACUCACCCAGGGAAUGUUUCACCACCUGAUUGAUUAUCAAGGCUACGAGCAUUCCUGGCAUUCCUGGAAAGGACCAAGAAAAGUACAAGUGCUAUGUUCCCAGACCUCACCAAGAGGCUUUUGUCACCCUGCUCCUGAUACAUUUUUUUCUUGUGGACAGACAAUGUUUGGUUUUGUUUUGGUUUUAUUGCUUGGUUUUGGCUGUGUGUGUUGGGUUUAUUAA